rnacentral:rRNA from 1 species
UACGGGGGGAGCAAGCGUUGUUCGGAUUUACUGGGCGUAAAGGGCGCGUAGGCGGCGCAACAAGUCACUUGUGAAAUCUCCGGGCUUAACCCGGAGCGGCCAAGUGAUACUGUCGUGCUAGAGUGCGGAAGGGGCUACUGGAAUUCUCGGUGUAGGGUGAAAUGCGUAGAUAUCGAGAGGAACACCUGCGGCGAAGGCGGGUAGCUGGGCCGACACUGACGCUGAUGCGCGAAAGCCAGGGGAGCGAACGGG